rnacentral:rRNA from 1 species
UACCAGCACCCCGAGUGGUCGGGACGAUUAUUGGGCCUAAAGCAUCCGUAGCCGGUUCUGCAAGUCCCCCGUUAAAUCCAGCUGCUCAACAGAUGGGCCGCGGAGGAUACUACAGAGCUAGGAGGCGGGAGAGGCAAGCGGUACUCGAUGGGUAGGGGUAAAAUCCGUUGAUCCAUUGAAGACCACCAGUGGCGAAGGCGGCUUGCCAGAACGCGCUCGACGGUGAGGGAUGAAAGCUGGGGGAGCAAACCGG